UGCCUUUCACCUGAAAUGGUCACCAGGCUCUUCUUCUGUGUGGCUCUUUGUCUCCUGUGGGCAGGACACAUGGAUGCUGGCAUCACCCAGAGUCCAAGAUACAAGAUAGUGAGCACAGGAAAGAAGACAUCUGUGUACUUCUGUGCCAACAGUUACGGGUGGGAUACCCAGUACUUCGGCGCGGGGACCCGGCUGUCGGUGCUAGAGAACCUGGAAAAGGUCAAACCUCCCACGGUCACAGUGUUUGAACCAUCAGAAGCAGAGACCUCCCGCACCCAGAAGGCCACACUCGUGUGCCUGGCCACGGGCUUCUACCCCGACCACGUGGAGCUGAGCUGGUGGGUGAACGGGAAGGAGGUCCAGAAUGGGGUCAGCACGGACCCGCAGCCCUACAAGGAGCGGCCCAAUGAGAAUGGCUCCAGCUACUGUCUGAGCAGCCGGCUGAGGGUGUCCUCUGCCUUCUGGCACAACCCUCGCAACCACUUUCGCUGCCAAGUCCAGUUCCACGGGCUCGGGGACGACGACAAGUGGGAAAACACCAGCCGGCCCAAACCCAUCACCCAGAACAUCAGUGAUGAGACCUGGGGCAGAGCAGACUGUGGCUUCACUUCAGUGUCCUAUCAGCAGGGCAUCCUGUCUGCCACCAUCCUCUAUGAGAUCCUGCUGGGGAAGGCCACCCUGUAUGCCGUGCUGGUCAGCGCCCUGGUGCUGAUGGCCAAGGUCAAGAGAAAGGGUUCCUGAGACCAGCUCUGAAAAUGCAUCCUGAGUUGCUCAUCAUCCUCACCCUAGAUUCGCCUUGACGUGCUUCCAGUCGGCGUUUCUAAAAGUUAUUCUCUCUCCCCCUCUUAUCUCUUUCCUGAUGGGAUAUCUGUCCCUUCUCUAUGCUUUCCUGCAGACUGAGCUCCUCAACCCUGAAACUGAAAUAGACUUAAUAAAAGUGUCUUGCCAGGC